rnacentral:rRNA from 1 species
UACAGAGGGUGCAAGCGUUAAUCGGAAUUACUGGGCGUAAAGCGUGCGCAGGCGGUUUUGUAAGUCUGUCGUGAAAGCCCCGGGCUCAACCUGGGAAUUGCGAUGGAGACUGCAAGGCUUGAAUCUGGCAGAGGGGGGGUAGAAUUCCACGUGUAGCAGUGAAAUGCGUAGAGAUGUGGAGGAACACCGAUGGCGAAGGCAGCCCCCUGGGUCAAGAUUGACGCUCAUGCACGAAAGCGUGGGGAGCAACAGG